rnacentral:misc_RNA from 1 species
GGAAGUAAAAGUCUUAACAAGGUCUCCGUUGGUGAACCAGCGGAGGGAUCAUUACAGAGUUGCAAAACUCCCAAACCAUUGUGAACGUUACCUAUCCCGUUGCUUCGGCGGGCGGCCCGGGCCCCGCGCCCGGCGCCCCCCGGCCCCCCGUGGGCGCCCGCCGGAGGUAAACCAAACCCUUGAAUUGCAUGGCCUCUCUGAGUCUUCUGUACUGAAUAAGUCAAAACUUUCAACAACGGAUCUCUUGGUUCUG